rnacentral:rRNA from 1 species
GACGAACGCNGGNGGNGUGCGUAAUACACACAANUCGAGNGGACGGAAGGGANCUUGCUCCCGGAAGUCAGCGGCGGACGGGUGAGUAACACGUGGGUAACCUGCCNGUAAGACUGGGAUAACUCCGGGAAACCGGGGCUAAUACCGGAUAGCUUUUUCCUCCGCAUGGAGGAAGAAGGAAAGGCGGCCUUUGGCUGUCACUUACAGAGGGACCCGCGGCGCAUUAGAUAGUUGGUGGGGUAACGGCCCCCCAAGGCGACGAUGUGUAGCCGACGUGAGAGGGUGAUCGCCCACACUGGGAGUGAGACACGGCCCAGACUCCUACGGGAGGCAGCAGUAGGGAAUUUUCCACAAUGGAAGAAANUCUGANGGAGCAACGCCGCGAGAGAGAAGAAGGUUUUCGGAUCGUAAAUCUCUGUUGUCAGGGAAGAACAANUACCGGAGUCACUGCCGGUACCNUGACGGUACGUGACCAGAAAGCCCCGGCUAACUAC